CUGUGCAGCGCCCACUUCGUUUCUGGGUCACCGUCCAUGGAUUGUGAUAGUCCAGAUUUUGUUCCAUCCGUUUUUUCACACAGCAGCAACUGAGACAUCUCGGGAAAGGUGGCAAGAUAUGAAAGAAAGAGAAUAAGAGAUGAAGAUAAGGCCCCUGCUACCUGCCCCACAAGCCAGCCUGAAGCAGAUACUGCAGAUUCUUCUGAAGAUGAAUGUAAGUUUGUGUCCAGAAAAGAGAUGCACCAACUCAACCUGCAGUACAACCAGCUCCGUGAUGAUUAUGAAGCUCUGAAAAGAGAACUGUAUGCCACACAGGAAGAAAAUAAACAUCUGAAGGAGCAACUGAAGCAGUCCAAGUUUGGGUUUGAUUCCAUAAAAGACACAAAUGCUAAAAUAUUUUUUUUUACUGGUUUACAAUCAUUACAAAUGGUUAUGUGGCUGCUGGAUAUUGUAAAAAGAAGCACACUUGUGCUUAAGGGUGGGUUAAGUUGGGAGAACCACCUCCUUUUGGUUCUAAUGAAAGUAAGACUUGGACUCACCAACAGAGACCUUGCCUACAGAUUUGGGCUUCCAUUCUCAACUGUAUCAAAAAUACUAAGAGACUGGAUACCCAUGUUGUCCUCAAUAGUGAAACCUUUGAUAAUGUGGCCUAGUAAGGAUGCAGUGAGAGCAAACAUGCCAAAGUGUUUUAAACCCAAAUUUAGGAAUUGUCGAUGUAGACUGUACUGAAAUCUUUAUAGAAAGAACACACAAUCUUAAAGCAAGGGCUGAAACCUGGUCAAAUUAUAAGCACCAAAACACAAUGAAAUAUCUAAUAGGAAUCACACCAGCAGGAGCUAUAUCUUUUUUGUCUAGUGGGUGGGGAGGUCGUGCCUCUGACAAGGUAAUAACUUUAGAUUCUGCCUUUUUGGGUAAACUUGAGCAUGGUGACGAGA